rnacentral:rRNA from 1 species
UUUCCGGUUGAUCCUGCCGGAGGCCACUGCUAUCGGGGUUCGAUUAAGCCAUGCGAGUCGAGAGGUGCAAGACCUCGGCAUACUGCUCAGUAACACGUGGACAACCUACCCUGAGGAGGGGGAUAACCCCGGAAAGCUGGGGAUAAUACCCCAUAGGCCAGGGAUGCUGGAAUGCCUCCUGGUUGAAAGGUCCGCCGCCUCAGGAUGGGUCUGCGGCCGAUUAGGUUGUUGUUGGGGUAACGGCCCAACAAGCCAUUGAUCGGUACGGGUUGUGGGAGCAAGAGCCCGGAGAUGGAUUCUGAGACACGAAUCCAGGCCCUACGGGGCGCAGCAGGCGCGAAAACUUUUACAAUGCGAGAAAUCGUGAUAAGGGAACCCCGAGUGCCCGUAAAUUCGGGCUGUCCCAUCAGUGUAAAAAACUGGUGAAGAAAGGGCCGGGCAAGACCGGGUGCCAGCCGCCCGCGGUAAUACCGGCGGCUCGGAGUGGUGGCCGCUAUUAUUGGGCUUAAAGCGUCCGUAGCUGGGUUGUUAAGUCUCCUGGGAAAUCCACCGGCUCAACCGGUGGGCGUUCGGGAGAAACUGGCAACCUAGGGACCGGGAGAGGUGAGAGGUACUCCAGGGGUAGGAGUGAAAUCCUGUAAUCCUUGGGGGACCACCUGUGGCGAAGGCGUCUCACUAGAACGGCUCCGACAGUGAGGGACGAAAGCUGGGGGAGCAAACCGGAUUAGAUACCCGGGUAGUCCCAGCUGUAAACGAUGCGCGUUAGGUGUAUCGGUGACCACGAGUCACCGAGGUGCCGAAGGGAAACCGUGAAACGUGCCGCCUGGGAAGUACGGUCGCAAGGCUGAAACUUAAAGGAAUUG